AAGGAUGAGAAGCCACGUUUCAAGAUGCACGAAAAGAAAUGCAUGGAAAAAGUUCUAAUUGGUCUUAUUUACAUUUGUUUCUAGAAUCUUCUUUUAAAAAGAUAAAUAAAAUAUUGGAUGAAUAAGGAAAUAAAUUUUAGAAAAUAUGAUAAUGAUUUACUAGCGUAUAGAGCGAGAAAGAAGCCAUGUUAUACAAGGAUAGAAAGAAGCCAUUUCAUCAAGCAU
rnacentral:lncRNA from 1 species